ACCGCAAAAAAGGUGCGGGUAGGGGAGAUAUGAAGAAAAGGGAGAAGCCGACAGUUUUUGGAAGUGCUUCUUUUCCUUUUUCACCUUGUUUCGUUUCGUGUCGGUUAGGUUGGUGAUGUUGUCAAAUUGACAACAUCAUCCACCUCCCCUCCUCUCUCCAAUUUUCCAAUUGAAGCCCAUCGUCUAAAACUUGAACACAUAGGAUAGAUGGUUUUGGC
ensembl:ncRNA C18D1.12 ncRNA